GAUGAAGAACGCAGCGAAAUGCGAUACGUAAUGUGAAUUGCAGAAUUCAGUGAAUCAUCGAGUCUUUGAACGCACAUUGCGCCCCCUGGUAUUCCGGGGGGCAUGCCUGUCCGAGCGUCAUUGCUGCCCUCAAGCACGGCUUGUGUGUUGGGCCUCCGUCCUCCUCCCGGGGACGGGCCCGAAAGGCAGCGGCGGCACCGCGUCCGGUCCUCGAGCGUAUGGGGCUUCGUCACCCGCUCUUGUAGGCCCGGCCGGCGCUUGCCGACACAUCAAUCUUUUUUCCAGGUUGACCUCGGAUCAGGUAGGGAUACCCGCUGAACUUAAGCAUAUCAAUAAGCGGAGA
rnacentral:misc_RNA from 1 species